GAUGAACGCUGGCGGCGUGCCUAACACAUGCAAGUCGAACGGAGUCCAGCCUUUAAGACCUUCGGGUCAAAGAGGGGAAGACUGAGUGGCGGACGGGUGAGUAACACGUGGGCAACCUGGCUCAUAGAGGGGGAUAACAGAGAGAAAUUUCUGCUAAUACCGCAUAAGCACACACUGCCGCAUGGCAGAGGGUGAAAAGAGAAUGGCUAUGAGAUGGACCCGCGUCUGAUUAGCCAGUUGGCAGGGUAAGAGCCUACCAAAGCGACGAUCAGUAGCCGAUCUGAGAGGAUGAUCAGCCACGUUGGGACUGAGACACGGCCCGAACUCCUACGGGAGGCAGCAGAGGGGGAUAUUGCACAAUGGGGGGAACCCUGAUGCAGCGACGCCGCGUGAGUGAAGAAGUAUUUCGGUAUGUAAAGCUCUAUCAGCAGGGAAGAUAAUGACAGUACCUGAAGAAGAAGCCCCGGCUAACUACGUG
rnacentral:rRNA from 1 species